rnacentral:tRNA from 1 species
UCCUCAGUAGCUCAGUUGGUAGAGCAAGCGGCUGUUAACCGCUGGGUCGGCAGUUCGAGUCUGUCCUGAGGAGCCA